CUCAAUACUUCAUAUCAUUAUUGUUGAAUUUUGUAACAGCUUUACAUUAACAGAUCAUUUUUUCCCCCAAGAAAUACAGUAUAUAGGCUUUUAAUCUAUUGCUGUACAAUAUUACUGUAUUGUACUAUUACUUUACUGUUUGUCUCUCUCAGGAACCAGGAUUCAACUUGAUUUAACUUGAGAAAAUCUAUUAGUACAAUAUAAUCAUCCUAAAUUAUAUUGUGGUUAUAACUUCUGUGUUAUAAAAUCGUUAUCCCAUUACAGUUUAUUCAUAUUUCAUAGUGCUUUACAUUCAACAUUUUCUUGGACCAGUCCAGCUCUUCUUGUUAAUCACAAUAUUACAUUUAAUGAUUUACUACUCCAUUUGCAUUUGAAUAGGAUUUAGAUACAUUUUCAAACUUGCUUUACUUCAAUCUCAUUUAUAUAGAAUAAAUAAUUGAAAGCACCUGUAAUGAUGAUUCAAGAUCCAAUUAGUAACAUCAUUAAAAAAAAGAAAAGAAAAAAAGAAUGGCUCAUAAUGAAAUCUGGCACUAAAGGUCUUCUUCAGUAGCUCACAUUUAAUAGGCUUAUCUUAUUGAACUUCAGUAUAAAGGAAAUCAAAGUUAGCCGAGUCAUUAGCUUCACUUUUUGGUCUUUCUUUAAAAAAAGAGAAACCCGUAUUUGAAUAAUGACUGAUGAAAUCAGACCCAUCCUGAGAACAGGAGGAUGAAUACAUUUUUUUAAAGGCCCGAGUUUGUAUUUCCCCUAAAAAUAGUUUAAAGCAAUUUACUUUUAUACAGUUUUCUCCAGAGUGGCUUUUACUUUUCUCAGACUGGGAGAGCCAGAUGGUCCUGUAAAAUCAUAUGCACUAUUAUUUGCUUAAAUGUGAUCCAUAAAAUGUUUAAAAUCUCUAUAUGUUGAACAUAUGCAAAGAAGUUUGAAAUCAUAUAAUAGAUAAAUGCCAACAGAAGAAAAAUGCUCAAUUUGAAUGUAGUAAUGGUCUUUGUUUAUUUCCCAUAAAAGCACCAUUUUUGUUCUUUCUUCAGACUAUACCUUUUGCAGAAACACGAUUAUUCAAUAAACAGACUGUCUACUGAGUGUGCUUUUUGUUGAACCUUUAACAUUUUGAUCAGUUGUAGAUUCAGUGGA
ensembl:lncRNA